rnacentral:lncRNA from 1 species
CCGUUGAAGAGAAGUGAGUGGAGGGGUCACGGGUGUGUCUAAGAGAAGAGAGAGGGAGCUGACCGUUGGGAGCUGUCACUAUCCCUCUUGCUGAACGAGCCAUCCGCGGAUCUGCUUCCUCAUUGUUUAGUCUUUCCCUUGUACUAUCUUCUCAUUGUUUAUGCAUUCUUGUAUGUCUUUAAAUACCUUGUCAUGUGUAACAAAUCAAGUAAGGAAACUUAUUCUCCUUCUAUUCUCUUUGUCAUACUCUCACGGAAACUCUCUCCAUCUCUUACUCUUCUCUCUUAAUCUCUCUUUAAUCUUCUAAAACUCUCAAUAGGAGUUGGGAUGAAGAAGUUAUCCCACUUUUAAAUCAGGUGAUUCCAGAGUCCCAGUUUGGGAAUAGCACAGCUUCAUCGUCGUUCCAGUCAAACCAGGAUGAAUCACUUUGUGAGAAGCUUGAUUUGGAUACAUUUAGUGGUGUAGAAUCACCAGGAAGUUGAAUAAAACUCAUAGGAGUUGGGAUGAAGAAGUUAUCCCACUUUCAAAUCAGGUGAUUCCAGUUUCCCAGUUUGGGAAUAGCACAGCUUCAUCGUCGUUCCAGUCAAACCAGGAUGAAUCACUUUGUGAGAAGCUUGAUUUGGAUACAUUUAGUGGUGUAGAAUCACCAGGAAGUUGAAUAAAUCUCAUAGGAGUUGGGAUGAAGAAGUUAUCAAGUUGAGAACGCAAGGACUUACAGAUGAGGACGGUGUGGUAUUGUGGAAAGGGAAAGGAAAUGUGUUUCAAUCUUCAUUUGAUACGAACCAAACUUGGCAGCUAACGCGUGUGCAGCAAGCAACGGUUCAGUGGUAUAAGGGUCUCUUGUUCUCUGGAUCAACUCCCAAAUACUCUGUCAUGUCUUGGAUUGCAGUACACAACCAUUUGGCCACAUGAGACCGACUGCUGCAGUGGAACGCUCAAGCGAAUGCUCAGUGUAUCCUCUGCAAUUCUGCAGUUGAAACCCAGAACCACCUAUUCAUCAGCUGUCCCUAUGCAGAGGCUAUCUGGAGAAACCUCACGAGGAAACUACUUGGUCGGAGCUACUCAUAUACAUGGAGUCAAGUUCUUGAUCUCAUAUCGACAAAUCAUGUCACAGGUGUGAAAAAAAUCCUCCUUAGAUAUAUAUGUGUUCCAAGUCUCAGUGCAUACUAUUUGGCUUGAGAGAAAUGGUAGAAGACAUGGCACGGUCCAGCGACUUCCAAGCCUUCUUAUCAAGUUCAUCGACAAGCAAACAAGAAACCGAAUCAGCUCUCUACGGGGACGACAAAGAACCUCUUUCAACCAAGCUAUGGUGGUUUGGUUUUCGUCUAGAGAUUAGGCGAGCACUAAUCACUGUUAUUGUUUUUAAAAAAUUCAAUCACACAAUUAGUCUAAAGCUGCAUUAGUUUGUACAAAAGCUUUUUUUUAUUCGAAUAAAUUUAACAUUUUUUCAAAAAAAAAAAAGAGAGGGUAAAAGUGAUUAGUGUAAACAUGAAAAGUGGUACUAUGAAUGUGGUAUUUGUGGCAAUUUCCUAAACCAAAAUUUUGAAUACAAUUUUUAAUAAAAUAAUUUUAAAUUUCUUUUAAUUUUCAAAAUUAUAUAAGAUAAUAAAAAUGUUUUAUAAUUUUUCAAAAUAUAAUAAGUUCAUAAAAACAUUUUUUUAAAAUAAAAAUAAAAAAGGUUUUAAAUAUUCAAAAAAAAAACAAAAUACUGAUCUAAAUUCUUAACAUAACAAUCUAAACUAACAAAUCAUAUAUAAAACUAACAAAAUCGAAACUAAUAAAUCAUAAACUUAGAAAUCCUGGGAGUUGUAACUAUCCGAAAAUAAAAUUCUGAUAUUAUGAAGUUGAAUAAAUCUCAUAGGAGUUGGGAUGAAGAAGUUAUCCCAUUUUCAAAUCAGGUGAUUCCAGUUUCCCAGUUUGGGAAUAGCACAACUUCUUCGUCGUUCCAAUCAAACAAGGAUGAAUCACUUUGUGAGAAGAUUUAUUUGGAUACAUAAAGUGGUGGAGAAUCACCAGGAAUUUGAAUAAAUCUCAUAGGAGUUGGGAUGAAGAAGUUAUCCCACUUUCAAAUCAGGUGAUUCGAGUUUCCCAGUUUGGGAAUAGCACAGCUUCUUCGUCGUUCCAAUCAAACCAGGAUGAAUAACUUUGUGAGAAGCUUGAUUUGGAUACAUAAAGUGGUGGAGAAUCACCAGGAAGUUGAAUAAAUCUCAUAGGAGUAGGGAUGAAGAAGUUAUCACACUUUCAAAUCAGGUGAUUCCAGUUUCCCAGUUUGGGAAUAGCACAGCUUCUUCGUCGUUCCAAUCAAACCAGGAUGAAUCACUUUGUGAGAAGCUUGUCGUACGACGAGGGAGGUGAAGAGUACCUCUUCAAGAUCGUCAUCAUCGGAGACUCCGCCGUCGGCAAGUCCAAUCUCCUCACCCGCUGAAUCCAAGGCUCAACUUCUUCUUCUCCGUCGUCUUCUAUCGAUGGACUGAAUUUCCAAAACCAUGGCAAAAAGAAAAAAGAACUAUAAGGCAACUUGACUUCAGAGCCAUGUGUAUCACGAGACUUCAGAGCCAUGUGUGGAAGCUAAAGGUCCCGAGCAAGAUGAAACAUUUCUUGUGGCAGGCUAUCUCGGGCUGCGUGGCGACGGCAGAGAGGCUCAUGUAUAGACACCUGGGCACCGAUAGGAGUUGUCCUAGAUGUGCUGGCCCAGUGGAGUCGAUUAAUCAUCUUCUUUUUGAAUGCCCACCAGCUCUUCAGGUUUGGGCUUUAUCGGACUAUCCGUCCACUCCGGGUUAUUUCCCGAGUACAUCCAUAUAUCAAAACAUGAACUUCCUUUUUGGAAGAGAAAAUAGGUGGCUCCUCUGAGACCACAAUUCGAUACCUUCCCAUGGAUCUGUUAGUACAUUUGGAAGCCGAGGAACGACAAACUCUUCAAUGGGAAAGACGUAUCCCCAUUGACACCCUCCAACAUGCGUCUCUUGAGGUGGAAUGUUGGAGGAAGGCUAACGAAAAGGAGGAAGCAAAGGAGGAUCAUGAUGAUCCCCCUACUACAGAGAUUGAGACAGUGCCCCCUUGGAUACCUCGAAUCCCUACUUGUCAAAUUGAUGCAUCAUGGAUCAAUAAUGGCAGUGUCAGUGGCUUAGGAUGGAGUCUUAAGGAUCAAAUGGGCUUAGAAUACUUCGGAUUACGGGCGUGUAACAUGAGCCUCUCAGCUUUGCAUGUUGAAUCAGGUGAUUCCUGUUUCCCCGUUUGAAAAUAGCACAAAUUCUCCGUCGUUCCAACCAAACCAGGAUGAAUAUCUUUGUAAGAAUCUUGAUUUGGAUACAUAAAGUGGUGGAGAAUCACCAGGAAGUUUAAUAAAUCUCAUAGGAGUUGGGAUGAAGAAUUUAUCCCACUUUCAAAUCAGGUGAUUCCAGUUUCCCAGUUUGGGAAUAGCACAGCUUCUUCGUCGUUCCAAUCAAACCAGGAUGAAUCACUUUGUAAGAAGCCUGAUUUGGAUACAUAAAGUUGUGGAGAAUCACCAGGAAGUUGAAUAAAUCUCAUAGGAGUUGGCAAGAAGAAAUUAUCCCACUUUCAAAUCAGGUGAUUCCAGUUUCCCAGUUUGGGAAUAGCACAGCUUCUUCGUCGUUCCAAUCAAACCAGGAUGAAUCACUUUGUAAGAAGCUUGAUUUGGAUACAUAAAGUGGAGGAGAAUCACGAGGAAGUUGAAUAAAUCUCAUAGGAGUUGGCAUGAAGAAGUUAUCCCACUUUCAAAUCAGGUGAUUCCAGUUUCCCAGUUUGGGAAUAGCACAGCUUCUUCGUUGUUCCAAUCAAACCAGGAUGAAUCACUUUGUGAGAAGCUUGACUUGGAUACAUAAAGUGGUGGAGAAUCACCAGGAAGUUGAAUAAAUCUCAUAGGAGUUGGCAUGAAGAAGUUAUCCCACUUUCAAAUCAGGUGAUUCCAGUUUCCCAGUUUGGGAAUAGAACAGCUUCUUCGUCGUUCCAAUCAAACCAGGAUGAAUCUCUUUGUAAGAAGCUUGAUUUGGAUACAUAAAGUGGUGGAG